rnacentral:rRNA from 1 species
UACAGGGGGUGCAAACGUUGCUCGGAAUUAUUGGGCGUAAAGCGCGCGUAGGCGGCCGCUUAAGUCGGAUGUGAAAGCCCCUGGCUCAACUGGGGAAGUGCACCCGAAACUGAGUGGCUUGAGUACUAAAGAGGGUCGCGGAAUUCCCGGUGUAGAGGUGAAAUUCGUAGAUAUCGGGAGGAACACCGGUGGCGAAGGCGGCGACCUGGGUAGAUACUGACGCUGAGGCACGAAAGCUAGGGUAGCAAACGGG